rnacentral:rRNA from 1 species
GAUCAUGGCUCAGGAUGAACGCUAGCGGCAGGCCUAACACAUGCAAGUCGAGGGGCAGCACGGUGUAGCAAUACACUGGUGGCGACCGGCGCACGGGUGCGUAACGCGUAUGCAACCUACCCAUAACAGGGGGAUAACACUGAGAAAUUGGUACUAAUACCCCAUAACAUCAGGACCGGCAUCGGUUCUGGUUGAAAACUCCGGUGGUUAUGGAUGGGCAUUGUGUAUA